UACGUAGGUGACAAGCGUUGUCCGGAUUUACUGGGCGUAAAGGGCGCGUAGGCGGCCCGUCAAGUCCCGUGUGAAAGCCCCCGGCUCAACCGGGGAACGGCGCGGGAAACUAGCAGGCUUGAGUUCGGGAGAGGGAAGCGGAAUUCCGGGUGUAGCGGUGAAAUGCGCAGAUAUCCGGAGGAACACCGGUGGCGAAGGCGGCUUCCUGGACCGACACUGACGCUGAGGCGCGAAAGCUAGGGGAGCAAACGGG
rnacentral:rRNA from 1 species